rnacentral:rRNA from 1 species
GAUGAACGCUGGCGGCGUGCUUAACACAUGCAAGUCGAACGAAGCACUUUAAAACAAUCUUUCGGGUGCGUUUUAUUGUGACUUAGUGGCGGACGGGUGAGUAACGCGUGGGUAACCUGCCUCAUGCAGGGGGAUAACAGUUAGAAAUGACUGCUAAUACCGCAUAAGCGCACAGUACCGCAUGGUACAGUGUGAAAAGAUUUAUCAGCAUGAGAUGGACCCGCAUCUGAUUAGCUAGUUGGUGAGGUAACGGCUCACCAAGGCGACGAUCGGUAGCCGACUUGAGAGAGUGAUCGGCCACAUCGGGACUGAGACACGGCCCAAACUCCUACGGGAGGCAGCAGUGGGGAAUAUUGCACAAUGGGGGAAACCCUGAUGCAGCGACGCCGCGUGAGCGAUGAAGUAUUUCGGUAUGUAAAGCUCUAUCAGCAAGGAAGAUAAUGACGGUACUUGACUAAGAAGCCCCGGCUAACUACGUGCCAGCAGCAGCCGCAGUAA